AUUGAACGCUGGCGGCAGGCCUAACACAUGCAAGUCGAGCGGGGUUUUCGGACCUAGCGGCGGACGGGUGAGUAAUGCGUAGGAAGCUACCCGAUAGAGGGGGAUACCAGUUGGAAACGACUGUUAAUACCGCAUAAUGUCUACGGACCAAAGUGUGGGACCUUCGGGCCACAUGCUAUCGGAUGCGCCUACGUGGGGUUAGCUAGUUGGUGAGGUAAUGGCUCACCAAGGCGACGAUCCCUAGCUGGUUUGAGAGGAUGAUCAGCCACACUGGAACUGAGACACGGUCCAGACUCCUACGGGAGGCAGCAGUGGGGAAUAUUGGACAAUGGGCGCAAGCCUGAUCCAGCCAUGCCGCGUGUGUGAAGAAGGCCUUCGGGUUGUAGAGCACUUUCAGUAGGGAGGAAGCGUUGAGUGUUAAUAGUACUCAGCGUUGACGUUACCUACAGAAGAAGCACCGGCUAACUCUGUGCCAGCCGCCGCGGUAAGAC
rnacentral:rRNA from 1 species